GUGUUGCCGAGUGAAAGGCGGCAACAGCUCAAAUUAGAAGUACUGGCCUUGCGCCGAGUUGUAAUUUGUAGAAGGUGCUUCGGGCGCGACUCUGGUCCAAAUCCCUUGGAACAGGGCGUCGAAGAGGGUGAGAAUCCCGUACGUGGCCGAGGGUCAAGCCCGUGUGAAGCCCUUUCGACGAGUCGAGUUGUUUGGGAAUGCAGCUCUAAUUGGGUGGUAAAUUUCAUCUAAAGCUAAAUAUCUGCCGGAGACCGAUAGCGCACAAGUAGAGUGAUCGAAAGAUGAAAAGCACUUUGAAAAGAGAGUUAAACAGUACGUGAAAUUGUUGAAAGGGAAGCGCUUGCAACCAGACUCGCUCGCGGGUGCUCAGCCACCUCUUGGGGUGGUGCAUUCUCCCGUGAUCGGGCCAGCAUCGGUUUUGGCGGCUGGAUAAAGGCCCCGGGAACGUAGCUCCUCGGAGUGUUAUAGCCCGGGGUGCAAUGCGGCCAGCUGAGACCGAGGACUGCGCAUCUGCUAGGAUGCUGGCGUAAUGGUUGCCAGCGACCCGUCUUGAAACACGGACCAAGGAGUCGACCAAUCGAGCGAGUGUGUGGGCGUAAACCCCAUUCGCGUAAUGAAAGUGAAGUAGGUGGGAACCUUCGGGUGCACCAUCGACCGAUCCUGAUGUCUUCGGAUGGAUUUGAGUACGAGCCCGGCUGGUCGGACCCGAAAGGUAUUCUUUUUCCAUCCUUGUGUUUCAUGAACUAACGUGUUUUAGAUGGUGAACUAUGCGUGAAUAGGGUGAAGCCAGAGGAAACUCUGGUGGAGGCUCGCAGCGGUUCUGACGUGCAAAUCGAUCGUCAAAUUUGCGCAUAGGGGCGAAAGACUAAUCGAACCAUCUAGUAGCUGGUUCCUGUCGAAGUUUCCCUCAGGAUAGCAGCAACGGAAACAGUCUCAUGAGGUAGAGCGAACGAUUAGAGGCCUUGGGGAAGAAACUUCCCUUAACCUAUUCUCGAACUUCGAAUAUGUGAGAAGUCCUUGUUAACUAGUUGAACGUGGACAUUUCGGAUGAUUCGGUGGCUAUUGGCCCAUUUUUUGGGCAAGCAGUACUCGGUCGAGACCUCCGACAU
rnacentral:rRNA from 2 species